GGGCUCGUAGAUCAGUGGCAGAUCGCGUCCUUCGCAAGGACGAGGCCCCGGGUUCAAAUCCCGGCGAGUCCA
rnacentral:tRNA from 3 species